UACAGAGGUCUCAAGCGUUGUUCGGAUUCAUUGGGCGUAAAGGGUGCGUAGGCGGCGCGGUAAGUCGGGCGUGAAAUCUCGGGGCUUAACUCCGAAACUGCAUUCGAUACUGCCGUGCUUGAGGACUGGAGAGGAGACUGGAAUUUACGGUGUAGCGGUGAAAUGCGUAGAUAUCGUAAGGAAGACCAGUGGCGAAGGCGGGUCUCUGGACAGUUCCUGACGCUGAGGCACGAAGGCCAGGGGAGCAAACGGG
rnacentral:rRNA from 1 species